rnacentral:rRNA from 1 species
CCUACGUGUGGCUGCAGUAGGGAAUUUUGCGCAAUGGGCGAAAGCCUGACGCAGCAACGCCGCGUGAUCGAGACGCCCUUCGGGGUGUAAAGAUCUGUCAGUGGGGGCGAAACUUGACGGUACCCACCGAGUAAGCACCGGCUAACUCCGUGCCAGCAGCCGCGGUAAUACGGGGGGUGCAAGCGUUGUCCGGAUUCAUUGGGCGUAAAGCGUGCGUAGGCGGCACGUAAUGUCUGGUGUUAAAGGCAGAGGCUCAACUUCUGUACGGCACUGGAUACGUGCCAGCUAGAAUGCGGUAGAGGUAAAGGGAAGUCGUGGUGUAGCGGUGAAAUGCUUAGAGAUCAGGAGGAACAUAGGUGGCGAAGGCGCUUUACUGGGCCGUAAUUGACGCUGAGGAACGAAAGCCAGGGUAGCAAACGGGAUUAGAUACCCGAGUAGUC